AUUGAACGCUAGCGGCAGGCCUAACACAUGCAAGUCGAACGAGUGGCGGACGGGUGAGUAAUGUCUGGGAAACUGCCUGAUGGCGGGGGAUAACUACUGGAAACGGUAGCUAAUACCGCAUACCAUCAGAUGUGCCCAUAUGGGAUUAGCUAGUGGGUGGGGUAACGGCUCACCAAGGCCACGAUCCCUAGCUGGUCUGAGAGGAUGACCAGACACACUGGAACGGAGACACGGGCCAGACGCCUACGGGAGGCAGCAGUGGGGAAUAUUGCACAAUGGGUGAAAGCCUGAUGCAGCCAUGCCGCGUGUAUGAAGAAGGCCUUCGGGUUGUAAAGUACUUUCAGCGGGGAGGCGUUAUCCGCAGAAGAAGCACCGGCUAACUCCGUGCCAGCAGCCGCGGUAAUAC
rnacentral:rRNA from 1 species